CGCCUGGUAGUUCAUCAAUCUCUGCAAAGAUGAGUUGUUGUUGGUCUCUGUACAAAUUUUUAGUAAAUAAUUUAACAUUUGGCAACUCUGGUUUUUCAUCAAAAGAAUGCAGGUAGCUGUUCUGUGUCAGUUUGUUUACUAAGAAACGACGAGAUGAUCGAAAUGUGCUUUUGUUGUUGCCCAACUUUAAUUUCGUGGCUGCAGUCACCUGCUUGCUUGCCUGCUGAAUUCAGUGUGUUUUUCUUCGCGGUAGAUCGGUGGCAUUUUAGUAAAAUAGAAAAUCGCGUGUUUUGUGGUUUUGCUAUUCUAAGAUGAGAUUAUGUGAGAGUUAAAUGACAAUUAUUGGCUGGCUAUUACAAAUCUAAAGGAACGCAUGUGGAUACUGCUGCUUGCUGGCUUCAGUGUGUUGUUGUUCGCCUGGUAGAUCGGCGAUAUUUUAGUAAAUUUAAAAAAUCGCGUGUUUUGUGAUUAUCAGGGCGCAUGUGAGACUAAAAUCAUAAUUAUUGGCUGACAUAUUGCAAAUCUAAAGGAACAAGUGUUGGGUACUGCUGCUUGCUGGUGCCUGGUGAUUGUUUGAUGUUUGUGCAUGCCGGAUAAUUCUGUAUUGCAUACAGUAUUUUUAUGAGAUUUGUGUUGAGUUAAGAUAUUAUUAUUAUAAAGGCUUU